UAAGGAUUUUGUUAUAGUUAUGAAUAUGCUUAUUAAAUAUUUCUGUUAAAUUUUAAUUUUUUAAUCUUUAUAUUGAAAUUUUUUUAGUCAGUCAAACAUUUAAAUUAUUUAGUAAACUGUUAAUAACCAAAAACUGAAGACUGCAUAUUAUUUAAGUUUAUAAAAUAACAAACAGUUCCUUCUGUACUAAAUUAUUUUGUCUCGAAUCAAUUAUAUUUCAAUUAGUUGUAUGCAUUAAUGGAUUUAUAUUGGUAUAGAAGUUAAAAGAAAAUGGUUUAUUUAUCAAUUUAAGGCAUGUUCUAAUAUCUUAUUCAAAGUAUGGUUAGUUUUUGUUUUUUUAAUU